rnacentral:rRNA from 1 species
GACGAACGCUGGCGGCGUGCCUAAUACAUGCAAGUAGAACGCUGAAGGAGGAGCUUGCUUUUCUGGAUGAGUUGCGAACGGGUGAGUAACGCGUAGGUAACCUGCCUGGUAGCGGGGGAUAACUAUUGGAAACGAUAGCUAAUACCGCAUAAUAGUAGAUGUUGCAUGACAUUUGCUUAAAAGGUGCAAUUGCAUCACUACCAGAUGGACCUGCGUUGUAUUAGCUAGUUGGUGAGGUAACGGCUCACCAAGGCAACGAUACAUAGCCGACCUGAGAGGGUGAUCGGCCACACUGGGACUGAGACACGGCCCAGACUCCUACGGGAGGCAGCAGUAGGGAAUCUUCGGCAAUGGACGGAAGUCUGACCGAGCAACGCCGCGUGAGUGAAGAAGGUUUUCGGAUCGUAAAGCUCUGUUGUAAGAGAAGAACGAGUGCGAGAGUGGAAAGUUCACACUGUGACG